UCCUUCAUCUUGCUCCCACCUCUAGCUGCAUCCUUGGGACUCCAGACCCACUUCUCCUCACCCCAUCCCCUGUCCAGUCCUUCCAAACAGCUUUCCUCUUGGUCUAAGCAUAUCUUGAUUCACUGUAUAACCAGAUGUGUGGCACAGGCCUGUGAUUCUCAACACCCUGGGACCGUGGAGGCUGGAGGAUCAAGAGCUAAGAUCAUCCUCAGCUACAUAUAGAGUUUGAGGCCAGCCUGGGCUACAUGAAACUCUGUCUCAAGAAAGAAAAAUCUGUAUGGAAUGGGAGCAGUCGUCAGAGCUGCUCACUAACCCUGCAAUAUAUGCACAUAUACAUGAGUGUACAUGUACACACCACGCAAAUCCUCUCCAAGAGUGCUGAGGGAAGACCCCAAACUGUAGACCUUUCACCCAGAAAGCUCAAUGCAUUCUAUGGGACUGGGGAUGACUUCCUACAAUGGGUUACUAUUGCUACGAUGAAACACCAUGACCAAAACAACGUGGAGAGGAAAGGGUUCAUUUGGCCUACACUUCCACAUCAUAGCCCAUCACUAAAGGAAGUCGGGACAGGAACUUAGAAGGCUGGGAACCUGGAGGCAGGAGCUGAUGCGGAGGCCACAGUGUUCUGCUUACUGGUUUGCUCCUCAUGGCUUGUUCACCCUGCUUUCUUACAGAACCCAAGACCGCCAGCCCAGAGAUGGUACCAUCCACAAUAGCCUGGGCUCUCCCCCAUCAAUCACUAAUUAAGAAAAUGUCCUACAGGCUUGCCUACAAUCUGAUCUUAUGGAGGCAUUUUCCUAAUUGAGGUUCUGUCCUCUCAGAUGACUUUAACUUGUGUCAAGUUGACCCAGAACUAUCUAGCACACUUAUCAACCUGACCAGUUUUAGAAUCACCAUUAAAAUACAUCUGAAUGUAUAUGUCUGAGAGGGCAUUUUCAGAGAGGUUCAAACAGGGAGAGAAGACAUAUCCUGAAUGUGAGCAUCAGCAUGCCAUGGGCUUCUCCCAGACCAAGACAAAAGGAGAAAGUAUGCAGAACACAAGCAUCCCCCUCCACCCCCUCUCUGCUUCCCAGUUGCAGAAGCGAUGUGAUCAGCUGCCUCGGGCUCUGACUUGCCAGCCUUCCUGCCAUGAUGGACUGGAACUCCAACUCUGAGCCCAAAAAAACUUCUCCUUCCUCAAGUUCCCUCUGUCAGGUGUUUUGACAUAGCAAGAAGGAAAGUAAGUAGUAAAAUUAUCAGCCUCGAAAAAAUCAUGUGUCCCUCUACCAGCGACUGGGUUUAGAAACAAGCAUGUGACCAGUUCUGGCCAAUAAAAUAUAAGGAUACAUUGUGUAGAAAACUGCAUUGAUUUUCCUUUCGGAUUGGAGGGGAGGUGUCCCUUUUAUGCUGUCCCCUUUCCCUCAGUUGUGUGUGCAUGCUACGAUACAGAGCAGGGAACAAGGGGGGCUAACAGAGGAAUACGAACAAAUACAAUCGUGUAUAUUUAUGAAAAUGUCAUGAUGAAAUUAAUUAUUCUGUAUGCUAAAUACUUGAAUGAAAAUUUGAAAAGUGACCUGGUGGGCAUUAUUCCCUACGUCUCUUCUGCUGCAAACCGAGCCCAUACGAGUGAGCAUCCCAUUCCCCAUGCCCUACCCAGUAGAAAUGCCUCUUCUCAUGGGAUGGCACUGGGCAGCAGGGAGUGAAUGGGACAUCCAGACAGACCCAGACGUGGGUGGCCCCUCGCUGGAACACUUCUCUGCCUGUGCCUGCCUGCCUUGCCCCUGAAAUGAGAAGUCAUGGUGUAAUCAAGCACCUCCCAGGGAGGACUCAUGGAUACUGAGGCUCCAUGCCUGGCCUGGAGUAAGGACUCCACAAAUACAGAGUUUAUCUCUCUUACCUCAAAGGUCCAGUGAUUGCAGUUUUCAGAUCCGAUGUCUCUACCUGAGAUCUGAUAUGAUGGAAUGUAACAUUUACCAGCAGCCGAGGAUCCCUGAAGUGCCACCAGCAGCGACAUAUUCUCUAGGUUGGAGAUAUCUGUUCAGGGGCCAGUGAGGCCAGCUCGCCAUUCCUGCCCCCUCCCCUCAAGAAUGAACCAAUUAGAAAAUUGUCAAAGCCAGUGGUCCUCCCUUCUGAGACUGUCAAUCAAAACUGUUAAGGGUGUCUCUGGUGGGCCAUUAUGUUCUCCCAGGGUCCAGGUGUUGUUUGUCUGUCCCAUGUUUCUGGGAGUCCUGAGAAUUGAAACCCUGCAUCAUUUACCUAUAUGUACCCCAAAUCCAGCAGAUUUAU